ACACAUUAAUAACGAAGCGCUUAGAUGCAGCCAAACAGGAAAUACAGGCUGUAGAGUCAGAAUGUAUGAAAGUAAAAAACGCAGAGAAAAAUGAAAAUAAUUUGAAUAAUGUCAAUAUGGAAACCCAAUUGAAGGAAGUUGAGUCAAAAAAUGUCAUGAGAGAGGAGAUUGUACGUUCAGCAAAAAUUAAAGAUUUUUUAGUAAGGAAAAUUGGCCAAAUGAGAGAGGAGCU